UACGGGGGGGGCAAGCGUUGUUCGGAAUUACUGGGCGUAAAGGGCUCGUAGGUGGCCAACUAAGUCAGACGUGAAAUCCCUCGGCUUAACCGGGGAACUGCGUUUGAUACUGGAUGGCUUGAGUUUGGGAGAGGGUCGUGGAAUUCCCGGUGUAGCGGUGAAAUGCGUAGAGAUCGGGGGGAACACCAGAGGCGAAGGCGGCGACCUGGACAGAUACUGACACUCAACUACGAAAGCGUGGGGAGCAAACAGG
rnacentral:rRNA from 1 species